AGGGAAAUCGGCAAAAUGGAUGAAAAACCUCGGGAUAAUCAUUGGCUCUAGCAUGCUAGAACUGGGCUUACAAGGGGAAUCUGACUGUUUAAUAAAAACAUAGCUUUGUGUGUACGCAAAGUGAAUUCUGCCCAGUGCUUGGGACGUUAAGGAAGUAAUUUUAAGUACGCACCUGUAAACGGCGGGAGUAACUAUGACUCUCUUAAGGUAGCCAAAUGCCUCGUCGCCUAAUUAGCGACGCGCAUGAAUGGAGCAACGAGAUUCCCACUGUCCCUGCUCACAGAUUUGCGAACCUACAGCCAAGGGAACGGGCUUGGGACAUGCAGCGGGGAAAGAAGACCCUGUUGAGCUUGACUCUAGCCAAGCACAGGCCUCUGUGACUAUAUCGUAGCGAGGUGGGAGAAAUGUGUGAGACCACUGACAUAGUCGGCGGGGGCACUCGCAAAGCUUGGUGGGGAGUUUGGCUGGGGCGGCACGACUACUAAAACAUAACGUAGACGUCCAAAGGUAAGCUCCGAGGGGAUGGAAACCACUCCGAGAGUAUAAGGGCAAAAGCUUGCUUUAGUUAUUAAUGUAAAUUAAUAAUACUGGAAACAGGGGCCUAGAGAUCCUCUAUGAAACUAAGCAUAGAGGUGACGGAAAAGUUACCACAGGGAUAACUGGCUUGUGGCGGCCGAGCGUCCAUAGCGACGCCGCUUUUUGAUUCUUCGAUGUCGGCUCUUCCGAGCAUGGUGGAGUAUCAGCCACCAAGUGUGUGAUUGUUCACCAACUAACAGGGAACGUGAGCUGGGUUUAGACCGUCGCGAGACAGGUUAGUUUUACCCUACUGCAUCGCGUCCGAGAGUAGGUCGGGGCAGUACGAGAGGAAGUGCCGAUCAGAACCGCUGGUG
rnacentral:rRNA from 1 species